rnacentral:rRNA from 1 species
CAGUGGGGAAUAUUGGACAAUGGGCGCAAGCCUGAUCCAGCCAUGCCGCGUGAGUGAUGAAGGCCUUAGGGUUGUAAAGCUCUUUUGUCCGGGAAGAUAAUGACCGUACCGGAAGAAUAAGCUCCGGCUAACUUCGUGCCAGCAGCCGCGGUAAUACGAAGGGAGCUAGCGUUGUUCGGAAUUACUGGGCGUAAAGCGCAUGCAGGCGGAUCGUUAAGUCGAGGGUGAAAUCCCAGGGCUCAACCCUGGAACUGCCUUCGAUACUGGCGACCUUGAGUCCGGGAGAGGUGAGUGGAACUCCGAGUGUAGAGGUGAAAUUCGUAGAUAUUCGGAAGAACACCAGUGGCGAAGGCGGCUCACUGGCCCGGUACUGACGCUGAGAUGCGAAAGCGUGGGGAGCAAACAGGAUUAGA